rnacentral:lncRNA from 1 species
CGUCAUAUAAUGGUAUGAAAUUAUAUUAUGACCAAACUAUCCUUUAUAUCAUGAAAGGAUCCUAUUGCAUGUGACUGUCAAGUCUAACCUUCCCCUAUGCAAACCCAUCGUAGGAUCACCUGUUGCAUAGAUCUCAUGCUCAAAACUCCUUUUUCAUCCAUCCAUAUAAAUUUUAAAGCAAUCAGUGCAUGACCAUAAUUAUCCAUCCAUCUACACAUAUCUCAAAGCAACUAGUAUAUGAUCUAGAUUAUUUAUUUGCCUAUGCAACUCUUAAAACAGCUGCAUGGAUGAUCUAGAUUAUUCAUCCUUUUGCAUAUAUCUC